rnacentral:rRNA from 1 species
UGAACGCUGGCGGCGUGCCUAAUACAUGCAAGUCGAGCGAACGGACGAGAAGCUUGCUCCUCUGAUGUUAGCGGCGGACGGGUGAGUAACACGUGGAUAACCUACCUAUAAGACUGGGAUAACUUCGGGAAACCGGAGCUAAUACCGGAUAAUAUUUUGAACCGCAUGGUUCAAAAGUGAAAGACGGUCUUGCUGUCACUUAUAGAUGGAUCCGCGCUGCAUUAGCUAGUUGGUAAGGUAACGGCUUACCAAGGCAACGAUGCAUAGCCGACCUGAGAGGGUGAUCGGCCACACUGGAACUGAGACACGGUCCAGACUCCUACGGGAGGCAGCAGUAGGGAAUCUUCCGCAAUGGGCGAAAGCCUGACGGAGCAACGCCGCGUGAGUGAUGAAGGUCUUCGGAUCGUAAAACUCUGUUAUUAGGGAAGAACAUGUGUGUAAGUAACUGUGCACAUCUUGACGGUACCUAAUCAAAAAGCCACGGCUAACUACGUG